UUGGAUGUCCCGGUUCAAGCCUGUAGUCGUGCCUGGUAGGCAAAUCCGCCGGGCUUAGAUGAGGGGUGAUAACGAGGAGGCUUGCCUCCGAAGUGAGUGAUACCCUGCUUCCAGGAAAAGCCACUAAGCUUCAGCUAUUGACGACCGUACCGCAAACCGACACUGGCGCGCGAGAUGAGUAUUCUAAGGCGCUUGAGAGAACUCUGGAGAAGGAACUCGGCAAAUUGACACCGUAACUUCGGAAGAAGGUGUGCCUUUAGUAGGUGUAGUUGUACAAACGAAGCCCAAUGAGGCCGCAGAGAAUCGGUGGCUGCAACUGUUUAUUAAAAACACAGCACUCUGCAAAGACGAAAGUCGACGUAUAGGGUGUGACUCCUGCCCGGUGCUGGAAGAUUAAAUGAUGGGGUGCAAGCUCUUGACUGAAGUCCCAGUAAACGGCGGCCGUAACUAUAACGGUCCUAAG
rnacentral:rRNA from 1 species